GACGAACGCUGGCGGCGUGCUUAACACAUGCAAGUCGAACGGUAAGGCCCUUCGGGGUACACGAGUGGUGAACGGGUGAGUAACACGUGGGUGAUCUGCCCUGCACUUCGGGAUAAGCCUGGGAAACUGGGUCUAAUACCGGAUAGGACCCUGGGAUGCAUGUCCUGGGGUGGAAAGCUUUUGCGGUGUGGGAUGGGCCCGCGGCCUAUCAGCUUGUUGGUGGGGUGAUGGCCUACCAAGGCGACGACGGGUAGCCGGCCUGAGAGGGUGACCGGCCACACUGGGCCUGAGAUACGGCCCAGGCUCCUACGGGAGGCAGCAGUGGGGAAUAUUGCACAAUGGGCGCGAGCCUGAUGCAGCGACGCCGCGUGAGGGAUGACGGCCUUCGGGUUGUAAACCUCUUUUAGCACCGACGAAGCGCAAGUGACGGUAGGUGCAGAAGAAGGACCGGCCAACUACGUGCCAGCAGCCGCAGUAA
rnacentral:rRNA from 1 species